rnacentral:rRNA from 1 species
UACAGAGGGGGCGAGCGUUGUUCGGAAUUACUGGGCGUAAAGGGCGCGUAGGCGGCCUGCUAAGUCGAACGUGAAAUCCCUGGGCUCAACCCAGGAACUGCGUCCGAUACUGGUUGGCCUGAAUCCGGGAGAGGGAUGUGGAAUUCCAGGUGUAGCGGUGAAAUGCGUAGAUAUCUGGAGGAACACCGGUGGCGAAGGCGCCGCUCUGGGCCGAAACUGACGCUGAGGAGCGAAAGCAUGGGUAGCAAACAGG